AGCGAACGCUGGCGGCAGGCUUAACACAUGCAAGUCGAACGGGCAUAGCAAUAUGUCAGUGGCAGACGGGUGAGUAACGCGUGGGAACGUACCUUUUGGUUCGGAACAACACAGGGAAACUUGUGCUAAUACCGGAUAAGCCCUUACGGGGAAAGAUUUAUCGCCGAAAGAUCGGCCCGCGUCUGAUUAGCUAGUUGGUAGGGUAAUGGCCUACCAAGGCGACGAUCAGUAGCUGGUCUGAGAGGAUGAUCAGCCACAUUGGGACUGAGACACGGCCCAAACUCCUACGGGAGGCAGCAGUGGGGAAUAUUGGACAAUGGGCGAAAGCCUGAUCCAGCCAUGCCGCGUGAGUGAUGAAGGCCCUAGGGUUGUAAAGCUCUUUUGUGCGGGAAGAUAAUGACGGUACCGCAAGAAUAAGCCCCGGCUAACUUCGUGC
rnacentral:rRNA from 1 species